UCACUGCCGGCUCAUUCAGAUAAGCAUAGGUGCUUUUUUCCACCUAUACCCAGUUGGAGAAGAUGUCAUAUCAUAAUCCACAUGUAGCACCACCUAAUUAAAUACUGCACUAGACUAAGAAGCUUCCCCGUAGACGUUAAGCAAAUGUAAGAAGAUAGAUACCACCAGAAACAUUUUUUAGCUAGCGUGUACGUACGUAUGCUUGUGGUAUGGCCUGUAAUGCCUUCUAUUUUCCAGUCACCUAUAUCGUACGCUUGUUGGCCAUAAGUUAUUGUGCUAGGACGGUGGCAUUGUGGGUUGUGACGGGGCAUCCGACUACAGGAAAGGAAUUGGAUGGGGUGGAUUGUCUCCCACAUCGCGCCGGCUACUAGUAUACAGUAUUUAAAAAAGAUGCGGCUAAAGGUAUUGUUCACAAAAAAGGUGGCACUCUCGGUGCUGGAAAUGCUACGGGAAAGUUGUGUGAAGAGGUUACCAGUGCUUGAUCCCAAUCCGUAAUUCGGCGACCAUGGUGGAAGGUGCCACCAUCAUGAGGUUCUUCCUGCACCACGCCCCUGCGCCUCGAGAAGCCCCUGGGCGCCGCCGUCGGCCAUCUCAGAUCUGGGUGCCGGCGGGCCGCCCCGGCAUGCAGGAAGGUCUGCCCCGCGU
rnacentral:lncRNA from 1 species